AAUAUUUGACAAUGGGCGCAAGCCUGAUCCAGCAAUGCCGCGUGUGUGAAGAAGGCCCUCGGGUUGUAAAGCACUUUUAUCAGGAGCGAAAUACCCCGGGUUAAUAACCUACGGGGCUGACGGUACCUGCGGCAUAAGCACCGGCGCACUUCGUGCCAGCAGCCGCGGUAAUACGAAGGGUGCAAGCGUUAAUCGGACUUACUGGGCGUAAAGGGUGCGUAGGCGGUUUGUUAAGUCUGUUGUGAAAUCCCCGGGCUCAACCUGGGAAUGGCAAUGGAUACUGGCAGGCUAGAGUGUGUCAGAGGAUGGUGGAAUUUCCGGUGUAGCGGUGAAAUGCGUAGAGAUCGGAAGGAACAUCAGUGGCGAAGGCGGCCAUCUGGGACAACACUGACGCUGAAGCACGAAAGCGUGGGGAGCAAACAGG
rnacentral:rRNA from 1 species